CCCUAACUUGGUGCCCAGAGUUCUAAGGGUAAAAGGUUGUCAUAGAUGAGAACAGCAACACCAUCUCUUCACUCUGUGUAGGGUUGGAUCGGGGCCUUCCAAUCGCUAUAGGUUUUACUGCUUCCAAAGACCUGGCAGACUCCUGGUUUGUGGUGAUCAAGUCCCGGGUCAGAGCAGGGAGAAGCAGCCCAUGAGGCCAGUGAAAUGGUGCCCAGUGGAGGGGAAGGC
rnacentral:lncRNA from 1 species